UACGUAGGGUGCAAGCGUUGUCCGGAAUUAUUGGGCGUAAAGAGCUCGUAGGCGGUCUGUCGCGUCGGCUGUGAAAACCCGGAGCUCAACUCCGGGCCUGCAGUCGAUACGGGCAGACUGGAGUACUGCAGGGGAGACUGGAAUUCCUGGUGUAGCGGUGAAAUGCGCAGAUAUCAAGAGGAACACCGGUGGCGAAGGCGGGUCUCUGGGCAGUUACUGACGCUGAGGAGCGAAAGCGUGGGGAGCGAACAGG
rnacentral:rRNA from 1 species